AACAAACGCUGGCGGCGUGCAUAACACAUGCAAGUCUAACGGGAAAGUCGGCUUCGGCUGGCAAGUACCGUGGCGAACGGGUGAGUAACACGUGGGUAAUCUAACCUCGAGUUUGGGAUAACCUUGCGAAAGCGGGGCUAAUACCGAAUAAGACCACGCUCUGUCCGCAGAGUGCGGUAAAAGGCGGCCUCUUCUUGAAAGCUGUCACUUGAGGAUGAGCCCGCGGCCUAUUAGCUAGUUGGUGGGGUAAUGGCCUACCAAGGCGACGAUGGGUAGCCGGCCUGAGAGGGUGUACGGCCACACUGGCACUGAGAUACUGGCCAGACUCCUACGGGAGGCAGCAGUGGGGAAUUUUGCGCAAUGGGGGAAACCCUGACGCAGCAACGCCGCGGGAGUGAUGAAGGCCUUCGGGUCGUAAAGCUCUUUUAGUGGGGAAGAAUCCCUUUCGGGCUAAUAUCCCGGGAGGAUGACGGUACCCACAGAAAAAGUUCCGGCUAACUACGUGCCAGCAGCCGCCGUAACAC
rnacentral:rRNA from 1 species